rnacentral:lncRNA from 1 species
CGGAGCCCGGCUCCCGUAGGAGUCUGGGCGGAGCUGCACUUGCUGUCGGCAGUGGAGCCCGGCUCCCGUAGGAGUCCGAGCGGAGUUGCACUUGCGGUCGGUGGUGGAGCCCGGCUCCCGUAGGAGUCCGGGCGGAGCUGCGCUGCAAUCAAAGUUAAGGGUGAAGUCCGGCUCUGGUAGGAGUCCGGAUAGAGCUUACCAGCAGUUUAUACUGAGAGCGGAGCCCGACUCCCGUAGGAGUCCGGGCAGAGCUGUUCUGAUGCCGGCGGUGGAGCCCGGCUCCCGUAGGAGUCCGGGCGGAGCUGCACUUG